GCUGGCGGCGCGCCUAACACAUGCAAGUCGAGCGGGAAGCUUUUUAAGGAUUCUUCGGAUGAAUUAAAAAGUGGAGAGCGGCGGACGGGUGAGUAACGCGUGAGAAACCUGCCCUAUACAGGGGGAUAGCCAUUGGAAACGAUCAUUAAUACCCCAUAUGACCACAGUAUCGCAUGAUACAGCGGUGAAAACUCCGGUGGUAUAGGAUGGUCUCGCGUCUGAUUAGCUAGUUGGUGGGGUAACGGCCUACCAAGGCGACGAUCAGUAGCCGGCCUGAGAGGGUGACCGGCCACACUGGAACUGAGACACGGUCCAGACUCCUACGGGAGGCAGCAGUGGGGAAUAUUGCACAAUGGGCGAAAGCCUGAUGCAGCGACGCCGCGUGAACGAUGAAGGCUUUCGAGUCGUAAAGUUCUGUUCUUGGGGAAGAUAACGACGGUACCCAAGGAGAAAGCACCGGCUAAAUACGUGCCAGCAGCCGCGGUAAUACGUAUGGUGCAAGCGUUGUCCGGAAUUACUGGGCGUAAAGAGUUCGUAGGCGGUUAGAUUAGUCAGAAGUGAAAGGCUACGGCUCA
rnacentral:rRNA from 1 species